GAAAUGCGAUACGUAAUGUGAAUUGCAGAAUUCAGUGAAUCAUCGAGUCUUUGAACGCACAUUGCGCCCCCUGGUAUUCCGGGGGGCAUGCCUGUCCGAGCGUCAUUGCUGCCCUCAAGCACGGCUUGUGUGUUGGGCCCCCGUCCCCCCCCCCAAGGGGACGGGCCCGAAAGGCAGCGGCGGCACCGUGUCCGGUCCUCGAGCGUAUGGGAAGCAACUUUUUGUCACCCGCUCCUGUAGGUCCGGCCGGCGGCCUGCCCAACCCCAACCUUUUUUUCAACCAGGUUGACCUCGGAUCAGGUAGGGAUACCCGCUGAACUUAAGC
rnacentral:misc_RNA from 1 species